AUGAAAAUCACUCAUGAUGAUGAGAAGGAUGAAAAAAAUAUAAAGAAUAAUAUAAAUUUUUGUAAUUCUAAAAAAUGUAAUAAUGAAAGUGAGAAAAAGAUUAAUAAUGUAAUGGAAAAUAAUGACAAUAUUAAUAUACACGAUUCUUCUGUUGACAGUGUAACAUUCUUUGAUGUCAACAUAGAUGAUAAAACAGACGAUUUACAAAAAGAAUUUAAUGGCUAUAACAAUGAUAAUUUAAUAAGAAAAAGUGGAAAUACGCCAGAAUUAUGCGUUGAAACAUUAAGUUCAAAUUCAGAUGAUGAUCUUGAUAAUUUUUUUGAAGAUAUAGAUAAUAAAAAACUAAAGGGCAACGAUAAGUUCAUGGAUAUAAAAAACGACGAUAUAAUUAUAAAGGGAAAUAUUAAUAGUAAAAGUAGUAGUAGUAGUAAAAUUAGUAGUAGUAAAAUUAGUAGUAGUAAAAGUAGUAGUAGUAGUAAAAGUAGUAGUAGUAGUAAAAGUAGUAGUAGUAGUAGUAGAAGUAGUAGUAAAAAUAAUAACACUACAAAUAAUAAUGAUAACAAAAAUAAUAGAAAUGUUGAUAUACCAAAAGAGGAUUGUGAGUUUUUUUUGAAAAAUGAUAAUGUAAGUGAAGAAAUAAAGCAAACGCACAAAUAUGCAAGUUCAACAGAUAAUGAUUUUGAUAAUUUUUUAAAGUCAUCAGAUGAUUAUGAAAAGAAAAAUACAAAAGAAUUGUCUCUUGAAAACACAGAGAGUUCUGAAAGUCUUAAUGACAAAGCUUAUUUGUUAACAAACGAAGAAUUCAGCAUAGAUAAAAAUAUGAAUGAUUAUAAAAAUAUGAAUAAAAAUUCUAAAAUUAAUUAUACAUUGGCCGUAAGCAAUUCAUUAAACAGUAUAACAUAUAGUGAACUAGUAAAAAAAGAGUCAGAUGAAAUAGUACAAAAUGAUGACAAAAUUGUAAAAAAUAACGAUAAAAUUGUAAAAAAUGACGAUAAAAUUGUAAAAAAUGACGAUAAAAUUGUAAAAAAUAAAUAUGAAGAGAGUAGCGAGAAAAAAAAAGAAAUAAAAGAAAAUAUUAAAAAAAUAGAACAUAAAUAUGUAAAUAUAAACUCAAGUAAUAAAAUUUUGUCAAAUGAUAAAGAGAUAAAUAAUGUUUUAUUAAAAAAUUCUAAAACAGAUAAAGAAUCCAACAUACAUGAAAAUAAUGUAAAUACAGAACGUUCAGAUGUACAUAUAAAUAAAAAAAUAGAAGACAAAGAAAUAGAAAAUGAAAAAAUAGAAGACAAANNNNNNNNNNAAAUAGAAAAUGAAAAAAUAGAAGACAAAGAAAUAGAAAAUGAAAAAUAG
rnacentral:lncRNA from 1 species